rnacentral:rRNA from 1 species
AAGUGUGUUGUGAAAUGUAGACGCUCAACGUCUGACUUGCAGCGCAUACUGGUUUCCUUGAGUACGCACAACGUUGGCGGAAUUCGUCGUGUAGCGGUGAAAUGCUUAGAUAUGACGAAGAACUCCGAUUGCGAAGGCAGCUGACGGGAGCGCAACUGACGCUUAAGCUCGAAGGUGCGGGUAUCGAACAGGAUUAGAUACCCUGGUAGUCCGCACAGUAAACGAUGGAUGCCCGCUGUUGGUACCUGGUAUCAGCGGCUAAGCGAAAGCAUUAAGCAUCCCACCUGGGGAGUACGCCGGCAACGGUGAAACUCAAAGGAAUUGACGGGGGCCCGCACAAGCGGAGGAACAUGUGGUUUAAUUCGAUGAUACGCGAGGAACCUUACCCGGGCUUGAAUUGCAGAGGAAGGAUUUAGAGAUAAUGACGCCCUUCGGGGUCUCUGUGAAGGUGCUGCAUGGUUGUCGUCAGCUCGUGUCGUGAG